rnacentral:lncRNA from 1 species
AGUGCUAGCAUAGAAUCUAACAAGAAAUGGCCCUGCAUCCAUUCUCUUUUCUUCUAAUAACAGCCCCAGAUUUCCAUUUUUGGACCUACCUUUUCCUUUUUAUCAGGCUAAGUGUUCAUGGUGGGGCUCUGUCCUUAGUUCCAGGGAUAAAGCCUGUGACCCAAACUUAAACCGCAGAUCAUUUUCCCCAGGCCAUGGAGAUUGUUUCAAAUGUGGGCACAUGGCCUGAAUGGGUCAUAUCAGAGUAAAUCUUAGGGCUUCUGGGUUAUGCCACCAUCACAGGCUCUUGCUUUCCUCACUGAACUUGAACCUAGACGGAUGUAAGCUGGAGCUGUGGCAGCCAUCAUUGCCCUGUGAAAAGUCCACUUGGAGCUGCCAAAGACCACCCCAGGAGCUUCAGAAUGAAGACAACCUGGAAGUCAGAGCUGACAGAAAUAAGGUGAAGUUAGCUUGAGGAAAGAGCUGUAAGGAAGAGUGAAGUCAGCUGAGUCAAGGACACAAGCGGAAAAUGUGCAAAGAUGAGCCAGAAGCAUGGAAAAGUACCUCCAAGACAGAGGAGAACUGAUCCAAGAGAAAGGAGAUGGGAGUGGGCAUCACGUACAGCCAGAGGGCGCCACCUGCCGGAUCCAUCGAAUGACCUGGUUCACAAGAGAAGCCAGAGUGCAGUCAGGACAAGGCAAACAGCCCUUUACUGGAAGAAUUGGGCAAUCUAUCUGGUGAGAGGUAAGUUUAAAUAGGGCAGUGACACUGCACAACAAAGUCCCAUUUUUUGGACUUUAUGGGGGUUGAAAACCCUGCCUGACAGACUCAGAGUCCUUAACCAGACUGCCCCAGCGGGGAGAAGGGUACCAGGAGGGUUUCCACGAGGGCAGAGGCAGCAGGUGUCUGACUACCUACUCCAUUUGCAAGGACGAAUGGAAAGCCAGGGCUCACCACACAGGUGAACAGUAGAAGACUGCAUGAGCCGAUGGAAAAACAGACCCUAAGAGCAGCAGAAGAGGAGAAAGUCCAAAUAACAUCUUCAGUGAGAUUAAGACUAUAGUUUAUGGCAGUCUCGUGCAUCUAUCAACAAUAAGAACAUGCUAUAUAGAGAGACAAUUAGAAGACAAGAGUUACCUAGAGAUUGAAAAUAUAAUUGCUGAAGUUAAAAAACCCUUUAUUGGCCGGGCGCAGUGGCUCACACCUGUAAUCCUAGCACUUUG